rnacentral:rRNA from 1 species
UACGUAGGGUGCGAGCGUUAAUCGGAAUUACUGGGCGUAAAGCGUGCGCAGGCGGUGAUGUAAGACCGAUGUGAAAUCCCCGGGCUUAACCUGGGAACUGCAUUGGUGACUGCAUUGCUGGAGUAUGGCAGAGGGGGGUGGAAUUCCACGUGUAGCAGUGAAAUGCGUAGAGAUGUGGAGGAACACCGAUGGCGAAGGCAGCCC